rnacentral:tRNA from 1 species
GGUUUCAUGGUGUAAUGGUUAGCACUCCAGACUCUGAAUCUGGCAAUCCGAGUUCAAUUCUCGGUGAGACCU